UGUGGUCCAGUGGUAGGGUGGUUGACUUGCAAUCAGAAUAUUGCAGGUUCAAUUCCCGUCA
rnacentral:tRNA from 1 species